rnacentral:lncRNA from 1 species
CAAGAAACCUCUCUUACCCCAUGUAUAAGGCUACAUGUCGCCUCUUGUAUGUCCUUGUGUGUCUCUUAUGUAGUAUGCCAACUCACCUAUUUAUAGAGAACAUUAUUUGGUCAAAACCCAAAUAACAAUAGGAUUCUAAUUCUAAUUCCUAAACUCGUAUAAAAUAGGAAAUAACUUUUAAUUCUAAACAGAAUAAAAAAUUCCUUGGCGGCUUCUUCAAGUAGUUAAAAUCAAUUAAGAAAUUAGUUAAUUCCACACAAAAUAAGAAUUCUACCUAAAAGAAAUUAAGCCAAUUUCCUAACAAAUUUGCACCUACCGAAAAUUUCUUUUACAACCAUUUGCUUUCAAUCACCAAAUAAUAUAUCGAACUACACACCCAAAUCAAUACAGCCCUGACAUCAAAUUGAUUCAAUCGGCAAAUAAACACGUGUAGUUACUCCGAGUCUAACCUCCAGUUGACUCGUGAGAUGGUGUCUCAAUUCACCAUCUCCCUUUGCAGGAUUUUUUCUCACCACCACUCACAACCAGAGAUCUCCUUUUGUGAGUUCUAACCCUAAACAUUGAAACAAUCAAGUGAUAAAAUCAUCAUAUUUCUUCCCAUCCUCAGGACUGUCUUACUACGUGUGAUUUUCAAGAUUCCACCUCAAUUGAAAAACUCGUAACUGUCAGAGUCUUCUGACACAUAAAAAUUAAAUCUCUUUAUUUCUUUGGGAUACGUGCCACACCAUCUAAAAAAUAUAACCGAAAUCUAAAAGUCACCGGGAUGAAGUAUCAACUGUUGGAGAUGUGAGAAAAUCUCCAACGAUUCACGUCCAAAAUCAACAUUAGACUCCAUUUUUUUUACCCUUGAAUCACCUAUUUAGAUUCACCGUCAAGUAUCUUCAUGCUUUUCGGCUUCCCAACCUUUACUAUCAAUGCUUUUUGUCAAACCAUUGAAACAAGGAUACCACUCAUUAAAUUGUUCAAUUAGUAACAGUUACCAAUCUAUUUGAUCUCAAUAGUUAACCAGGAUCCAAUCUUGAACAAUCAAACUCUUGAUCCAACUAUUCAAUUUGUUGGGAUCCAAGUACUUGUGAACAAUCCAAUCUCGCAACCAAAUUCCGAUACCACUUAUUAGAAUCUAAGCACGGAAUACAUAACUAUUGAAAUAUCAAUACACAACAAUUUAAUGAUAAACAAAUCACAAGCAUGAAAAAUAGACGAUACACAACAUUUUACGUAGUUCGGCUCCACCAUUGAACCUACGUCCACGGAGAGAAAUUCGUUCUUUAUUAUGAGAGCAAAAUCCUAUACAAAAAUAUAACUUGAAUCCAAAUCCAACCCUUGUAUAUCAUCUUUUAUCUCCCAAGAAACUUCUCUCAUCCCAUGUAUAAGGUUACAUAUCGCCUUUUAUGUGUUCUUGUGUAUUUCUUAUGUAGUAUGUCAACCCACCUAUUUAUAAAGAACAUUAUUUGGCCAAAAUCCAAAUAACAAUAGGAAUUCAAUUCUAAUUCCUAGACUUGUAUAGAAUAGGAAAUAAUUUCUAAUUCUAAACAGAAUAGAAAAUUCUUUGGCUACUACUUCAAGUAACUAAAAUCAAUUAGGAAACUAAUUACUUCCACACAAAACAAGAAUUCUACUUAAAAGAAAUUAAUCCAAUUUCCUAACAUCUCUUAAUGGAAGAUUGGAAGAAGGGAGAGAAAUUAUGCUCUGUUUUGGAGAACUUUUGGGCAAUCACACAAAUAAUAUCAAGAAGUGACGAUCUAAUGCAAUCUGAAGAUUCAAUUGAUGUGGCGUCUUGUGAAGAUCAAGCUCAAGUUGGUUCGCACCAUUCUUAUGUACUGAGUUAUCCAGUUAGGUAUUUUAAUCUAAUUUGUUGCAUUAUUUAGAGUGCAUUUAGUGAUAAUUUAAUCAUUAUAAUUAGUGAAAUAAUCGACUAAGUAAGGACAAGAAAGAGGCAAAUUAGAGUUCCAUUUAGUCAGGAAAGUUUGUCUUGUUUAGUCUUUCCAAGUCCAAUUAGGUUUCAAAAUUUAUAAGGCUAUAAGUAUAGCCUCUUUGCUGUAUUUUUAUCAAUAGAAGAAAGACACAAAUUUUGAGAGUUUUCUCUUAACUUCUUAGAAGUGUUCCUCUGAACAUCUUAGAAGAGUUAUAAGUAUUCAUUUUGACUUAUCAAUCAAGAAAUUCACUUGAUUGUGGCCUCGUUCUACCAACAACCUUGGUUCGCAAAUCUAUUAAGUUGUGGGUUGCAAUUAAAUUUAAAAUUUAUAACUUUGAGGUUUAAAGAGGUCAUAAGUUUUUCGCUGUCAAACCAUAGGUAUUGUUCGUCUAGGUUCGGAUUAGGGCUGCAAACGAGUUGAGUCGAGUCAAGUUUUGAACUUAUCGAGUUGAACUCGACUUAAAAAUAGGUGGGCUCGAGCUCGAGCUCGAGCUCAACAAGCCUAAAGAAUUGAGCUCGAACUCAACUCGAUUAAAAAAUACUAAGCUCGAGCUCGACUCGAUGCUCGUGAGCUAAAACUCGAUUCUGGCUCUCGAGCAGCUCGAAUCGUGAGCUCGAAUUUUUGGAAUUAGAUCUAAGGCUUCUACUCCGUCUCCUAGCUUAAGUUUUAAACAGAGUCACUAAUAACAAAUUGUACAUCAUCAAGAUCAUACAAGAACAAAAAAGAAAACACAGGAAUUGAAGGAAUGGAGAAAUGAAGGAACAAAAUCCCAUUAGGCAUAUACAUUAACACGUUUCAGAUCCUUGACACUUCCUCAGGAGCUGCAUCAAUACAAAUGAAAGACAAUUUGAUAUCAAAAUAAACUGACUCUGAAAUUCCGUUCCCAUCCCUCAAUUUGAAGCACAUUUCUAAUCCAAGAUGAAACUCACAUCAGAUUACAGUCACAUUGCCACCUUAUCCAACGCAAUCAUACAAAAGAGUGCAGAAAUCACCAAUCAUUCGAGUCUCAACUAAGUCACAAGACAACUAAAACCCCACCAUUCCAAGGAGCUCAGUAUAGUAGAAUUGACAAUUCAACCAUUUAAACAAAACCCAGAAACGAAAGCCAGUUACUUUAAUCAUCAAUACCCCAAUGUACAUUUUCUCUUUUACACGUUGUCUAAAAGAAAGAAAAGGAUAAGAAAGAAGUGAAACCUCACCUGAAUAAAUGCAAUUACAGCAAGAAGUCCAUCAACAGAAAGCAAUCCCACUUAAACUUCGACCAAAGCAUGAUCAUAAUAAAAAAAGGCCUAAAAAUUUUUCAGUAAAUACAAUCAUAAAUUUAGAAAUACAUGCCACAUAAAAGUCUAGAAUUUAAAUGCCCAGCACUUCAUACAAGUUCAACAUUCUCGGACUGAUAUCCAUAAAACUAAUUAAGUAAUGACGGUUGACUGAGAAAUAUAUGGAAUUCUACUGCACUUCUUGUACUCCAAAUGAUUAAUGAUUAGACUCUAUGAUGACCACAGUUUUAUAGCCUUUUGAUAUCCAAACAACUGGACUAAUGCCACCAGUAUGACAGCUAAUAGAGAGUUUCAAACUAUGACAGCUUCAAGGCUAGCAAUUACUAGUUAAAAGUUUUAGAAUCUAAACUACAUUUAAAAGAAGCUUUCUUUAAUGCAACACAUAAAAUCAAAACAAAUGGAGCUGAUAACAAUCAACAAGGUGGACUCAAAUAAAAUUACAAGAAGAAGAGCACCAAAAAAGCAGAAUAUAAAAGCUUGAAUUGUCUAGUAAUUUCUGUUCGUAACCUCAUAACCAGAGGAAAGGACAAACAAUGAAAAGAAAAUUCUUGAUUAGGCAAAAUUCCAAUACCACCCCAAAUCCAACCAAGUAAGGAGGUCCCAAGUUCUAUCAAAUUCUAGACAUUCCAAAUUAUUGAUUAGUUGGACACCACUGACCUCAAUGACAUGUUAUUUUACAUCAACCCACCAAUCAUGUCUUUUUGUUUCCAUAACUGGACCAAGAGAUAUAUGGAAAUUAUUUCCUAUUCAACUAGUAUUUCAUCAUUUUAAGAGAUGCAAUUUAAUAUGACACUCUGGAAAAAAGUGGUUGUCGAUUGAUUGAUUUUCAGGAGAUUUAUUAGCUACCCCCAAAAAUAUAAGAUCCCUGCUAUUAUUACGUAAUUCAAGUCGAAUAAAUUAUUACCAUCCCCUAAUUAAAUAACAAAGGCAAUCUUUAAAAGAGAUGUAUCAGUAGAUAUGAUUCUCUUCCGGUUCUAUUUUAAUGCAAACUCAUUCCAACCAGCACACAAAAAAGGUACUUUUUUAAGUCUAGAUGACAAAUGCAAACCUCAUAUUUUUUUUAUUUCCAACAUAACUAAGCUGGCACAACUUUUACCUAAAAGAACAUGAUAUUCAAAGUCAAGAAACCGCAGAUGGUGCAGAGAUACCAAUAAAGCAGGCCAUUUUUCUACUCUGCCACUUUAACCAUCAGCAUGCAUCAAGUUAUCGGUUUUAUUGUGUUCAUAUAUAUAUAUAUAUAUAUAUAUAUAUAUAUAUAUAUAUAUAUAUGAUUUGGGCAAAAUCAAGAUUGAUUUCGUACUUGCUAACUAGAGGGAAGCAGCAAACUUCAGAUGAGAGAAAAUAAUCUACUUACAAAUUCUUUAAUUGAACAAGUGAAGCUGCGACCCAAAUGAAAUCCCGGAUCCAACGUACGAAUUAGGAGAACGCCAAACCAACCUUAAAUUGGAAAUCAAAUUGAGGGCUUUUUUCUUAGAAUCUAGAUCCGAGGUGGGAAAUGAAGGACGAGUGGCACGAAAGGAAGAAGGACUGUUAGCAAUCGUUAAGAAUACAGCUGGGCCGAGGAGAGCUGCCAUGUGUUAUUUUGAUGGCGAUGGGUCCGAAUACAGCUGGGCUGAGGAGAAGAAGUCGAAUUGCAGACGAUUAACUUUACAAUGUGGCGGUGGUGGCGGUGGCUGAAGGGUAGCGGUGGUGGCUGUGGUGCACUCGUGGCGGCGAUGGCUAGGGUUUGUUUGAGAAAUUGUGAAGGAAAGACAAAAGAGAGAUGCGGGACAGCGGGAGAAGCAAUUAGAAAUGCAAUUCAAUUUGGGGAAACAACU